rnacentral:lncRNA from 1 species
GCAGUCCCAGUGAUGCGUUCUUGAGACGGAUUUGAUAACGGGGAGAAAGGUAUGAACAGAGGUAGAAGGUGCUAUGUUAUUCUGCUUGGUUUGGAUAUUAAACACCAGGAAUCCAGCUAGGGCAGCAGAGUGAGAUGCAAGUGGGGAAAUGGGAGAGGCCCUAGAAGCUAAUGGAGCCUUUACCUUGGAGAUUCCCACUUCUGGAGGAAAUAGCAGAGAUCUCUUCUGGGGCCUCAGGAUUGUGAAUUGAGUACUGGGAGCUUAGAGUCACCAGAGACACCAGAUGUUUUCAUGACAUUAUCAGGAUUUAUUUUAAUCAAUGGAUGGAGCCCAGGAAGAAAUAGAUACAGUGAAACAUCCUUUGUGAUUAUGAGCAACUGGUUGAAGACUGGAUUAGUUUUUAAUCUCUGUUACUUGAUGGAUGAAAAAUGA